rnacentral:miRNA from 1 species
AGACCCUGGUCUGCACUCUAUCUGU